rnacentral:rRNA from 1 species
AUGAACGCUAGCGGCAGGCUUAACACAUGCAAGUCGAGGGGCAUCGAGAGAGUAGCAAUACUUUUGUCGGCGACCGGCGGACGGGUGCGUAACGCGUAUGCAACCUACCUUAUACAGGGGGAUAACCUUUCGAAAGGGAGACUAAUACCGCAUAACAUUACUUUGAGGCAUCUUGAGGUAAUUAAAUCUUCGGAGGUAUAAGAUGGGCAUGCGUAGCAUUAGCUAGAUGGUGCGGUAACGGCGUACCAUGGCGACGAUGCUUAGGGGUUCUGAGAGGAAGGUCCCCCACACUGGUACUGAGAUACGGACCAGACUCCUACGGGAGGCAGCAGUGAGGAAUAUUGGUCAAUGGUCGGAAGACUGAACCAGCCAUGCCGCGUGCAGGAAGAAUGUCUUAUGGAUUGUAAACUGCUUUUGUAUGGGAAUAAUAAUAGCUUUGCGAAGUUAGAUGCAUGUACCAUACGAAUAAGGAUCGGCUAACUCCGUG